GUAGUCAUAUGCUUGUCUCAAAGAUUAAGCCAUGCAUGUCUAAGUAUAAGCAAUUUGUACGGUGAAACUGCGAAUGGCUCAUUAAAUCAGUUAUCGUUUAUUUGAUAGUACCUUACUACAUGGAUACCUGUGGUAAUUCUAGAGCUAAUACAUGCUUAAAACCCCGACUUCGGAAGGGGUGUAUUUAUUAGAUAAAAAGCCAAUGCCCUUCGGGGCUCCUUGGUGAUUCAUAAUAACUUAUCGAAUCGCAUGGCCUUGCGCCGGCGAUGGUUCAUUCAAAUUUCUGCCCUAUCAACUUCCGAUGGUAGGAUAGUGGCCUACCAUGGUGGCAACGGGUAACGGGGAAU
rnacentral:rRNA from 1 species